rnacentral:rRNA from 1 species
AUUGAACGCUGGCGGCAGGCCUAACACAUGCAAGUCGAGCGGAUGAAGGGAGCUUGCUCCUCGAUUCAGCGGCGGACGGGCGAGUAAUGCCUAGGAAUCUGCCUGGUCUUUGGGGAUAACGUCCGGAAACGGGCGCUAAUACCGCAUACGUCCUGAGGGUGAAAGUGGUGGUUCUUCAGACCUCACGCUAUUUGAUGAGCCUAGGUCGGAUUAGCUAGUUGGUGGGGUAAAGGCCUACCAAGGCGACGAUCCGUAACUGGUCUGAGAGGAUGAUCAGUCACACUGGAACUGAGACACGGUCCAGACUCCUACGGUAGGCAGCAGUGGGGAAUAUUGGACAAAGGGCGAAAGCCUGAUCCAGCCAUGCCGCGUGUGUGAAGAAGGUCUUCGGAUUGUAAAGCACUUUAAGUUGGGAGGAAGGGCAGUAAGUUAAUACCUUGCUGUUUUGACGUUACCAACAGAAUAAGCACCGGCUAACUUCGUG